CCUACGUGGCAGCAGUGGGGAAUAUUGGACAAUGGGCGAAAGCCUGAUCCAGCCAUGCCGCGUGUGUGAAGAAGGCCUUCGGGUUGUAAAGCACUUUCAGUGGGGAAGAAAGCCUUGGGGCUAAUACCCUCGAGGAAGGACAUCACCCACAGAAGAAGCACCGGCUAACUCCGUGCCAGCAGCCGCGGUAAUACGGAGGGUGCGAGCGUUAAUCGGAAUUACUGGGCGUAAAGCGCGCGUAGGCGGUCUGAUAAGCCGGUUGUGAAAGCCCCGGGCUCAACCUGGGAACGGCAUCCGGAACUGUCAGGCUAGAGUGCAGGAGAGGAAGGUAGAAUUCCCGGUGUAGCGGUGAAAUGCGUAGAGAUCGGGAGGAAUACCAGUGGCGAAGGCGGCCUUCUGGACUGACACUGACGCUGAGGUGCGAAAGCGUGGGUAGCAAACAGGAUUAGAUACCCGAGUAGUC
rnacentral:rRNA from 1 species